GUGCUUGCUUUGGCAGCACAUGGACUAAAAUUGGAACAAUGCAGAGACUAGCAUGGCCCCUGUGCAAGGAUGACAUGCAAAUUCAUGAGGUGCUCCAUAUUUUU